CUCUUGAUGUGUGUCAGAAUGGAUCUUCUGAGUGCAAACAGUGACCUCUUGAUAACAAUUGACCAAGUCCUGGACUCUUGCUGCUGAGAUGAACAUUCUUCACUCCUGAUAAACAGGAUAUCGGACUCCCCUCAGAGAUGAUGCCUGCUCACCUGACUCCAUCCCAGAUCACAGCAACCCUUUCUGGUACAGAUGGAAUCAGAAUACAUUUCACCCGAGUCCUGUUUCAAGUGCCAGUACUACCUUUACUGGGUUAGUGAAGCCAGAUCAAGCCUGAGACACCCCAAGGAGCUAAAGAUAUGGCCCUGGUGGUUGUGAGCAGUCCAAGUCCUCAGGCAGCAGCUCUCAACCCUGGCAGGUGGUACAGAGACCAUGCGGGAACUUGAAGGUAUUGCCUGGCCCAGCCCCACCUCUCCUGUCCAGGUCUCAUUGGUGAGGAAGUGUCCUGGCAUUGAUAUUCAUCAGACACCUAUUAUGGGCAGUAGAGACGAGAACCCCUGGAAUAGCUUAUCUCAAGUUUUGUCCACAUCAGAAUCGUCUGGGGGUUGGGGGGUGUUUCCCUAGCCCCAGUUGUUCAGUCCCUCAUCUAGUUUCUUUUUUGGAAAAGUAAUUUUAUUUAUUGAUUUUUUGGCUGCCCUGGAUCUUUGUUGCCGCACGGGCUUUUCGCUGGUUGCAGUGAGCGGAGGCCCACUCUCUAGCUGUGGUACAUGGGCUUUUCAGUGCAGCGGCUUCUCGUCGAGCACACGCUCUAGGCACGUGGGCUUCAGCAGUUGUGAUGCUGUGGCUGCGGUUCCUGAGCUCUAGAGCACAAGUGCAAUAGUUGUGGCACAAAAGUUCAGUUGCUCUGUGGCACGUGGGAUUUUCCCAUAUCAGGGAUCGAACCCAUGUCUCCUGUGUCUCCUACAUCGGCAGGCAGAUUCUUUACCACUGAGCCACCUGGGAAGCCCCCUCCUCUAGUUUCUGAUUGAAUGCUCUGAGGUGGGGGUUCAGAAUCUGCAUUCUCUGAAUAUUAGGGUAUUAUUUAUUUUUUUUGAUCUCGCCAUGUGCCCUGCAGGAUCUUAGUUCCCUAAGCAGGGAUUGAACCUGUGCUCCCUGCAGUGAAAGCACAGAGUCCAAACCACUGAACCAGGCAAGUCCCCAGAAUCUGCGUUUCUAACGAGCUCCCAGGAUGCUCUGAUGUUCUCCAGGCCACACUUUGAGAAUUCCUGCCCCAGGGCUUGGUCACAGCCUCCCUGAUUCUUGCUGAGCCAGUGCCCUCUGCUUCCUAGCCGUGACCCUUGGUCCCCCUUCCUCCAGCUGGGGCACUUGCUAUGCCCUCUAUACUGGUAUGGCCUUCGCUGAGCUCUGGGUUAGCCCUGACAAGAUAGAGAAAAAAGUGUUUUUCUCUGCUUUUCUCAACCCAGAGGAGAUUGGAGUGCUUCAAAAGGCGUUCUAUCUGGGGGAGAAAUGGGUUCCCUGAAGAACUGAUGCUUUCAAACUGUGGUGCUGGAGAAGACUCUUGAGAGUCCCUUGGACUGCAGGGAGAGCAACCCAGUCAAUCCUAUAGGAAACCAACCCUGAAUAUUCAUUGGAAGGACUGAUGCUGAAGCUCCAAGACUUUGGCCACCUGAUAUGAAGAGCCGACUCACUGAAAAAGAUCUGAUGCUAGGAAAGAUUGAGGGCAAGAGGAGAAGGGGACGACAAAGGAUGAGAUGGUUGGAUGGCCUCGUCGCCUCAACGGACAUGAGUUUGAGCAAACUCCAGGAGAUGGUGAAGGACAGGGAAGCCUGGCAUGCUGCAGUCCAUUGAGUUGCAAAGAGUCAGACAUGACUGGGUGACUGAACGAUAGCAACGACGACAAAGGGGGGAACUGAGCGCAUGGCAGGGAACACAUUUGGGGGUGGCUGGGGUGUGGGCUCUGGGCUGGUUGGUUUGUAUUUGAGAGGCACAUUUGUGGGUUUGUGGUUGGAACCUCUAGGAACUGGCUAGUCCACGGAAGGGUCAGAGAGGCCCCAGAUGUCAAAGCUAAAACACAGACCUGAUUAAUGUAAGACUUGGUUAAUCCAGGAUGGUUCGCAGAGAAAUGGGCAGUGGGGAGUGGUGUUGGCUCUGAGCUUCAGAUCCAUUUUAAAGUCUCUCUCCUAAAAGCACUGUCUGGUCUAUAAAUUAUGCGCUGGGGUGUCACUGCCUCUUGUCCUCCAAGCUCAGCCAGUCUCUCCGAUGCCAGAUUAGGGGUAUCCCCUUCCUUUUCCUCUAUAGGUGAGGAAGGGGGUCCCUUGCUCAGGGUUCAUGGACUGAGACCAGCUGUUGCCAUGCGAGGUCAUAGACCCCUUACAAGCCCUCAGGGGACAAGUGUAACAGUGUGGGGUGUGCUGGGGCAGGGGGGUGACCAGAGCCACAUGGAAGGUACCUCCUGACGGGACACCAAGGAAUCUCUUCGUGUGAUUCACUGCACCAGAGCCUUCCUUCCAGCUGCCAAAGCCUGCGGAGCCCGCCUGUGACAGCCUGCCUGGGGGGCUGGAGUGUCCCGAAGACGACAAAUCAAAGCUGGCUCAGCCCGAAGCCUGCAUGCCUUUUGGGAGGGCUGGCAGGUGCCGUGCCCAGGUGGGGUUUCUUAUGUAACGUGACACAUGCAUGAGCCGGCCGUGGGUGCACCCGGGGCCGGCAGGGUGACUCAGGCCCCGCCAUCACUGCUUCCCAGAAACGUGGCACUCGGGUGUCAGCUGAGCAAGUGUCUGUGUGUCACUGUGAUUGUUAGAAAGCAAAGGAGGGUCCCAUGAUGCAGCGGGAGCGGGGGUGGGGGCGGACUGUGGAGACUGCAGGGUAUCAAGGCCAAAGGAGGUGGGUGGUGUGGGAUGGGGAGGCAAGAUCUGGAAACUUCCCUUUCCAUUUGGACCAGACUGGGAGGUAAGGAGGGCUGCCAGUGGCACAUCGUCCUCCUACCCUGGGUGGGCGGACGCCUGGCUGAUUCUUAGCAGUGGAAUCCCAUGCGGUGAAUAAUCCUGUGUCACUCAUUACAGAAAUCAAGUCUCUGUGAUGAGAUCUUCCUCUUUCUGGUUGCAAGGCAAUGGAGUGUUUCUUUAUCCCUGCCACUGAGCAGGGAGCAGGGCUCGUCCUCCACAAGUGACCUGGCAGUGCCCUGGGGGUUCGGCUUCUAGGGGUCUUCUCCUGGACCGCCCACAUCCCCAGUGCUGGCCCCGUGUCCCUGGCCCGAAGGUGGAGGGUAAGGUUAAGGGAGGCAGGGGUACAGUUAUGGGACAGGAGGCCUCGAAUCAGAGCAGGAGGGGCCUGCUGGAGCCUCCCGUGCCCGCGCAGGGGGAGGGCUUGGUCUGUGGAAGGAGGACCGGGGAGUCUGGGCUGGGCGCCCCGGGGAGGGAGCAUCAGCAUGACAUGGGUCCAGUGUCCAGCUGGCCUCUGUCCAUGCUCCAGGCCCCAUGGGCAGGUUGGAGGGGAGAAUGGGCAGUGGCCCUUCGUGUCCUCAUCCCAUUGAGUGUCUGUCUCUGAAACCGGGGCGAGGAGGAGGAAGCCAAGGACAAGCUGGGAAGAACAGGCCUUUCCACAAUGAAGACUGAUCUCUUCUGAACUGAAUACAAAACAAAGUCUCUCCUGUAGCUCUCAAGUGCUCUGUGUGUUCUCUCUAAGCCACACCAUCUAGACAACCUGGACCCAUAGGUGUGAUGGGAACCGCGUUGUUCCAGGCCACACGUGUGCAGACCAGUGUCCCACACUGUAUAGCGUCAUCAGGCACAGACUCUGAGAACGGAAAGGAACCUUCGAGCUUGUUGACGGUGAGCCAUGGUCCCCAAAACACGCCAGCAUCCUCCUCCCUGGGACCUGUGAUUUUGAUACCUUCUAUAGCAAAAGGGAUUUUACGGGUGUCAUUAGGUUGUGGACUUUCAGGUGGGAAGAUUAUCCUGGAUUAUUUUAGUGGGCCCCCAAUAGAGUUGGGGCUUCCAAGGUGGCUCAGUGGUAGAGAUCCCACCUGCCAGUGUAGGAGAUGUAGGAGACUUGGGUUCUGUCCCUGGGUUGGGAACAUCCCCUGGAGAAGGAAAUGGCAACCCACUCCAGUAUUCUUGCCUGGGAAAUCCCAUGGACAGAGGAGCCUGGCAGGCUACAGUCCAUGGGGUUGCCAAAAGUUGGACACAACUGAGCCACUGAGCAUGCACACACAAAUAGGGCCGAGAGAGUCCUCAAAAGUGAGAGAGAAGGUCAAGAAAAAUGGCCGCCUGCUGCUGGGAGCAGGGAGGAGACGGUGAUGUGCUGGGGAGAAGUGAGGACCACUACGGAAGAUGGGAAAGGUGAGAGAAGGAGCGUCCCCUGGGCCUUCAGUAGGACCGCGGCACUGCUGACCCCUUGACUGCCACCUCCUGGAGCCCACCGUGGACUUCUGACCUCCAGAGCGGUUAGAAGAUCAGAUGGUUUUUUUUUAGCCAUAGUUGGUGAUGACUUAAUAUAGCAGAUGAAGUAAACUAAUAACAGCACUCACUGAACUCAGCCCUCUCUUUUUGUAGCGGAGGAGGCGGAAGCCUGUUUGCAGUAUAUAUUUUCAUUUUUAGUUUGCUAACUUGUAAAGUAUUUAUCGGAAGGGAAUGACUUUUCUCCUGCCUCUGUGAAUAAGACAUAGAGUUUUUUAUUGUCCCGCUGACCAGAGCAGGCCUUAGAAUUUUCAGUUUUACGGGGUCUGAUUACUAAAUCAAUCCUGUGGAUUUGAUGCCCGUAUUUUCUUGAAUCAAAAUGAAAGAACUCUGAUCUGAUAGGAAUGAGUGAGACUCCCCUGGUGGCACAGUGGGUAAGAAGCUGCCUGCCAAUGCAGGGGAAAUGGGUUCGAUCCCUGAUCUGGGAAGAUUCCACAUGCCGCGGAGCAACUGAACCUGUGUGCCACAACUAUUGAACUUGUCCUCUGGAUCCUGGGAACUGCAACUACUGAGCCCAUGCACCACAGCUACUGAAGCCCGUGCACCCGAGAGCCUGUGCUCUGCAACAAGAGGAGCCACUGCAAUGAGAAGCCUGUGUGCCACAACUGGAGAGGAGCCCCUGCUCACUGCAACUAAAGAAAGCCCUCACAAAGCACCGAAGACCCAGCACAACCCAAAAUAAAUGAAUAAAUAAAAUUAUAUAGAAAAGAAUGAGUGGGUCUAUGGGGAUACUAUAGCAGAGGCUGUCCCAUUAAACUGGGGACCAGUAGCCCAUGUUGUAAUACACAUCACAGUGGCCAAGCCACAGCAUCCUUGCCUGCAGCUCCCCUCUCAUCACCUCCAACCUCUGCCUCCACAUCAUUGUAAGGAAGGAAGAAAAGGGAGGUGGGGGGGAAUCUUGCUGCUAGGUUUGCAGAGGAUGCUGCUGAUUUCUGAACCAGAACGGACUUUGAAAAGUCCUCCUGAGUCUAAAAAGAUGAAGACUCAUUGCUUCAACCCUUGCAGUAAACAUCCUGGGUAACCUUCACCUCAAACCUCAGAGGUUUCGAGAUGGCACAGAACAUGCUGUGCCGUGUUUAUUUCCCAUCACUUGGUGGAGAAACUCUGCACGGGAAGGAGGAGGCAGAAAUGAAGCCCUGGAGGUACUGCAGGGUGGGUUCCAGACCUCCGCAAUAAUGUGAAUCUCGCAAUAAAGUGAGUCACGUGGAUUUUUUUUUUUUUGGUUUCGCAGUGUAUAUAAAAGUGUAAUACACUCUACUGUAACCUGUUAAGCAUGCAAUAACAUUAUGUCUAAAAAAAAGUACAUCCCUUCACUGAAAAAUACUUUCUUGCUAAAAAAUGCUAACCAUCAUGUGAGCCUUCAGUGGGUCAUCACUUUUUUGCAAUAGUCCUGUCAAAGAUCAC
ensembl:lncRNA